UGCAAGUCGAACGGUAACAGGAGAGAGCUUGCUCUCUUGCUGACGAGUGGCGGACGGGUGAGUAAUGCUUGGGAAUCUGCCUAUAGAUGGGGGAUAACCAUUGGAAACGAUGGCUAAUACCGCGUAAUAUCGAGAGAUUAUAGAGUGCUUUUAGUACUUGUCUAUAGAUGAGCCCAAGUGAGAUUAGCUAGUUGGUGAGGUAAUGGCUCACCAAGGCGACGAUCUCUAGCUGGUUUGAGAGAAUGACCAGCCACACUGGAACUGAGACACGGUCCAGACUUCUGCGGAAGGCAGCAGUGGGGAAUAUUGGACAAUGGGGGCAACCCUGAUCCAGCCAUGCCGCGUGUAUGAAGAAGGCCUUAGGGUUGUAAAGUACUUUCGGUAAUGAGGAAGGUAAUUAUUGAAGGAUAGUUGCUUGACGUUAGUUACAGAAGAAGCACCGGCUAACUCCGUGCCAGCAGCCGCGGUAAUACGGAGGGUGCGAGCGU
rnacentral:rRNA from 1 species